rfam:Heliobacterium modesticaldum Ice1, complete genome.
UCCGUCGCGAGGCGGAAUCUGAAGGAAGCCAGCGGCAAACCUUUGUCGUCGCUCGACUGAUCCAACAGGCCCUGAACCAGAUCCUGAU